rnacentral:rRNA from 1 species
UACGUAGGGACCAAGCGUUGUUUCGGAUUUACUGGGCGUAAAGGGCGCGUAGGGGGCGGUGGUAAGUCACUUGUGAAAUCGUCUGAGCUUAACUCAGAACGGCCAAGUGAUACUGCUGUGCUAGAGUGCAGAAGGGGGCAAAUCGGAAUUCUUGGUGUAGCGGUGAAAUGCGUAGAGAUCGGGAGGAACACCUGUGGCGAAGGCGGCCAGCUGGGCCGACCCUGACGCUGAGGCGCGAAGGCGUGGGGAGCGAACGGG